GACGAACGCUGGCGGCGUGCCUAAUACAUGCAAGUUGAGCGCUGAAGGUUGGUACUUGUACCAACUGGAUGAGCAGCGAACGGGUGAGUAACGCGUGGGGAAUCUGCCUUUGAGCGGGGGACAACAUUUGGAAACGAAUGCUAAUACCGCAUAAAAACUUUAAACACAAGUUUUAAGUUUGAAAGAUGCAAUUGCAUCACUCAAAGAUGAUCCCGCGUUGUAUUAGCUAGUUGGUGAGGUAAAGGCUCACCAAGGCGAUGAUACAUAGCCGACCUGAGAGGGUGAUCGGCCACAUUGGGACUGAGACACGGCCCAAACUCCUACGGGAGGCAGCAGUAGGGAAUCUUCGGCAAUUGACGAAAGGCUGACCGAGCAACGCCGCGGGAGUGAAGAAGGGUUUCGGAUCGUAAAACUCUGUUGGUAGAGAAGAACGUUGGUGAGAGUGGAAAGCUCAUCAAGUGACGGUAACUACCCAGAAAGGGACGGCUAACUACGUG
rnacentral:rRNA from 1 species